AGCCUGCCCCGCGCCGGGGCGGAGCCACCGCCGCCAUCUUUAAGAGGUCGUCGUCGGCAGGAGGACGCCAUCUUGGAGAGGUCGCAGGAGGCUGAGGCGCCGUCGCCAUCUUGGGAAGGUGGUAUUCUGAUGUCCUUAGCUGUGUGCUUUGCGUCAGCUUCUGUGUCUGCAGCUUCAGGAGUCAUUGCAACCUGGGCUGGGAAAACUUCCGUACCUUGCCUCUUUUUCCAAAGCUUCAGUGAGGCUGUGAGGCUGCUAGUUAAAGUUACAGCACGACAUUGGUUUUCCCACACGCUUUUACUCAGAAGGCUUAUAAAAUUGCCUGGGAGAAUUCCGGCCAGUGGGGCAGAGGGGAAUUGCACAACGCUCAGGGAAAAAGGGAGAGCCACUCUACACGCAACCUGGUCAAGGUCCUGCUGAAGACCAGAGGGGCCAAUUGAUGGACUUUGCUUUCUGGCACAGUGCUUGCAAGGAUUCCCCAGCUAGCACCUAUGCACGAUGAUACGCAUAUCUGGAUGAAGACAGACAUGCUGAGUCCAUCACUGUGAGCACCAGGCGGAACAUCCCAUCACUGGACUUCUUCCAGGCUGGGUGUCUGGAUGUCCGGCUGCCUCUCUGUCAGCAGACCCAAAGUCCUGCAUUUCCCUGUGCAAGAAUAACCUCUUCACAAACAUGGGUGACAGUGCAGCUAUGACACACAGUGCCAAGCAUGGGGCUUGCCCGAAGUGGCAAAGAGCUGUCUUGAUGCCUUGCACCAAUGAAAAAGUGGAUUGCCUGCAGCUACAGCACGUACCAGGAGCUGAACCACUGUCCCUCUGGCCAAUCCAUUACCCCUAUGGCACAUUGAAGGCAUUCAUACUCCCUUAUGAAUUUAAAGUAUAUUAUUUACCUACCUGACAUACUUGAGCUCUAAGUAUACUUUUAUGGGUAUCUGCUCUGCAUUUGGCACUCCUAGCUGGAGUUUGGGCCAAAUUCGGCCUGUGAGUAGAUUCAUUGCUGUCAUUUGGAUUUGUAGUGGCAGCAUUUGCCCAUUAUUGUGUUAUUUUAAUUCCCUCAAGAAUCUAAUGAAAAUUAAGUGAAAAAAUAAGGCUUUCUUUAUUCUAUUUUCAGAAUGAUGGAUUGAUAGAAGGACGGGCAACUUAUACUUGUAGGCUGAAGAUUUUAUGCAUAUAUACAUAACAGAUAUGGAGACAGAAUUUUUCCCUUAUGGCAAUGGAAUGGUUUUGAUAGUCUUCAUUAAAAUAGAUUUGAAAAUAC